rnacentral:rRNA from 1 species
UACGAAGGGGGCUAGCGUUGCUCGGAAUCACUGGGCGUAAAGCGCACGUAGGCGGCUUUCUAAGUCAGGGGUGAAAUCCUGGAGCUCAACUCCAGAACUGCCUUUGAUACUGGAGAGCUUGAGUCCGGGAGAGGUGAGUGGAACUCCGAGUGUAGAGGUGAAAAUUCGUAGAUAUUCGGAAGAACACCAGUGGCGAAGGCGGCUCACUGGCCCGGUACUGACGCUGGAUGUGCGAAA